rnacentral:lncRNA from 12 species
GGACGCUGCUGCCCGCGGAAGGCAAAGGCGCCGGCGCUUCCGCGCGUGCCUGGCCCUUGGCCGCGCCGGCGCCUCGGAUUGGCCGCGUCCGGGUCACGUGGCCACGCCGCGGCCGCGCCCCCGCCCCGCCGCCCCGUCCGGCUGGCGGCGCCCCGCCUUGGUGGUCUCGCUGUCGCCGCGCGGCGGGGGCGGGGGCGGGGGCGCGGCGUGGAGGGCAGCGCGGGAGGGCAGUCAGCGGGCCCUCUCCCUCCAGAGGUGCAGCCUGCGCUGCUGCCGCCGCCUCCUGCCCCGCCGUCCUCCUCGCGGACGGAACGACCGGGGCGAGGUCAGCGCGUCCGUGGCCCGAGCGUCGGCCUCACUGAGAGCAAGAGCCGGGGCCACCAGGGUCCGAGCCCUCCUCCCCGCACUCACUCCCCUGCCCUCCCGCCCCAGGAGGAGCCCCGGGACGGAGAGGGGCCUCGGCCGACGGACUGCAUCCCCUGCAGCUGGCGCCACGAGCUCCAGACGCUAUCCCUGGGGAGCACCCAGGUUCCCUGCAGACCUGAGGGGUAUGGUCCACAAAGAGCCACCCACCUGUUAGCCACAUCCUUCCGGGUGGGAAGCACACUUCUCUGGGACUAGGGGUAGGAGGAGGAGGUUGGGAGUGCCCUUCCUUCCUCUUUCACCACACCCUCCUGCUGCUCCAAAUCAACCAGCACUUACUAAAUGGGCGUCUUAAACAAGUGGCCGAUUCCAGGGCCAGGACAGGGAAAAGGCAAUGAGCUUGGCUCCUCCUGUGUCGCUAGGAAGGAAGGAGGUGCUCACAAAAUGAAGUUGGGUUGUACAGGGACUCCGCCAACCUGAAGGAGCUCCUAGGGACUAAAGCUGGAAGAAUAUGAGCAGCGAAGUAAAUAAUAUGGAAUUGUAACUCAGAGAGUAACAUAAAUACCCAAGAGUCCAUAGUGAUAAAGAGUAAACAAGUGAGAGGCAGAAGACAGCUCCCUCCUACAGAAAUACCACAGUUAAUAACUGUAGUAGGAAUGAGAGAAAUGUAAAAACCACCUUAGGCAAACACCAGCAUAAUUGUUGGGAGCAAGAUCUAUUUGAUGCAGAGAUUAGAGGGCAAAAGUUUUGAGACAGAUUAUUGUAUUGCUUCAAAUCUCUCCCCCAAGAUAUUUAUUAACAGGGACAAAUAGUAACUUCGUAGUAGAGAAACUUGACCAACACACUUCAACCAGGGAAUCAAAGUAUAAGACAAAACGACAGUGUAUAUCCCUGAUGUGAUAAUGCAUCGAGAAAGACAACAGCACUCCUGUGGUUUUCUUGCCAAAAAUGCAUAACCUCAAUCAAAUAAUGGAAAAACUUCAGAGAAAUCCCAGUGAGGACAUGGUGCAACGUACCUGAGUACUCUUCAAGAGGGCCAAGCUCCUGAAAGAUGAAUCCUGAGGAGCUGUCCCAGAUCGGAGGUGUCGAUAAGAAUGACAACUAAAUGCAACGUGGGGUUCCAGAUUGGCUUGGACUAGGAAAAGUGCGGUAGUGGAAAAACAAGUAAUCUGAAUAAAGUCUGUAGUUUAGUUAACA